GUGCUCACUUUGACAGCAUAUAUACUAAUAUUAUAACAAUACAGAGAAGAUUAGCAUGGUUCCUGUGCAGGGAUGAAAAUUUGGGAAAUAGUCCAUAGUUUU